UUCAACUAAAGAAAAAAAAAAUGAGAAUAAAUCACUGAUUUCAGGUACAAAUGAUCAACAAUGUACAAAAGAUACCAUUCAAAAUUCAUAUAUGAAAAAACCAAAAAACAUUAUUUUUUGCUCUCAUGUAUGGUAAUGACUAUGACGAUAUAUGAAAUGAAUAUUAACCGAUGAUU